rnacentral:rRNA from 1 species
UACGUAGGGACCGAGCGUUGUCCGGAAUCAUUGGGCGUAAAGAGCGUGUAGGCGGCUCGCUAAGUCUUGCGUGAAAUCUCGGGGCUCAACCCCGAGCGGUCGUGAGAAACUGGCGGGCUAGAGUGCGGGAGAGGAGAGUGGAAUUCCUGGUGUAGCGGUGAAAUGCGUAGAUAUCAGGAGGAACACCGGUGGUGUAAACGGCUUUCUGGACCAUAACUGACACUGAGGCACGAAAGCGUGGGUAGCAAACAGG